rfam:TPA: Bos taurus chromosome 17, whole genome shotgun sequence.
UCCCUGGUGGUCCAGUGGCUAAGAUUCCACACUCCAAAUGCGGAGGGUCCAGGUUCAAUUCCUGGUUGGGGAA